UUUUUUUCGUGUUUAUGAGAUGUGAAAAGAUCAUCCCGGUUCCAUUGCCUGUUGAAUCCACUCAGUGCAAGAUGGCAGAGCAAGUACCUUCUCUGAAACUACCUUGCUUGAGAGACACACAACAAAUUAUGAGUGUUUGCACUACUCCAAGACAUCUCUGCAUCAUUGCUUGAUCUAAACCAGCUCUUGUGUAAGAGGAGGAGUGCUUUUUUGAUAAGAGGAGAUUUACAGAGUUUCCAACUUCUGUGAAGGUUGAAUUGAGCCAAGAAUGAAAUGAUAACUGGAAGACAUCUUCUGGCAUGAGGAGAUGGAGGAAUCAAUGAUAAUCUC